GAUGAACGCUGGCGGCGUGCCUAAUACAUGCAAGUCGAGCGAACAGACGAGGAGCUUGCUCCUCUGACGUUAGCGGCGGACGGGUGAGUAACACGUGGAUAACCUACCUAUAAGACUGGGAUAACUUCGGGAAACCGGAGCUAAUACCGGAUAAUAUAUUGAACCGCAUGGUUCAAUAGUGAAAGACGGUUUUGCUGUCACUUAUAGAUGGAUCCGCGCCGCAUUAGCUAGUUGGUAAGGUAACGGCUUACCAAGGCAACGAUGCGUAGCCGACCUGAGAGGGUGAUCGGCCACACUGGAACUGAGACACGGUCCAGACUCCUACGGGAGGCAGCAGUAGGGAAUCUUCCGCAAUGGGCGAAAGCCUGACGGAGCAACGCCGCGUGAGUGAUGAAGGUCUUCGGAUCGUAAAACUCUGUUAUUAGGGAAGGACAAAUGUGUAAGUAACUAUGCACGUCUUGACGGUACCCAAUCAGAAAGCCACGGCUAACUACGUG
rnacentral:rRNA from 1 species